UCUUUCUACCCCGCCCCACCGGGCACGGCGGUAGCAGGUGCCGAAACGCCCCCAGAGAACCUCGCUGAAAACGCGGCCAUGCCGAGCGGUGACACUCUGCAGCCGGACUACCGCCUGGUCUCAUCCGUCUUUAUCGCUUCACAGAGGGGUCGGAUGCCAUGAGAUUUCCCACAGGCCCUCACUGGCUCCACGCUGUGAGUAAACCCGUGGUCAAGAGGGGAUAACUAACGGCGGAUAAUGACGUGAUGAUUCCGGUUGUAGAGCCAGCACAGGGGGGCUCCGGGCACCUUUAAUGACCGGUGCUGGAGAGGAAAUCACUGGACUUUAUUGUCUGUGGAGCCGCGUAACACCGGACCGACAGCGGUGCAAAUAAGAAGAAGGGAAGAAAAGAAAAGAAACGUCUCUCUAACAGGUUGCUGAGACAUUCAGUCCGAAAAGGGGGGGUUUGCAGCACAGCAGAGAAUGCUCUCCCCCAGAUGCUGACUUCUAAAGCCAUUAGAAACCUG